rnacentral:piRNA from 1 species
UGCAAACCUUUCGACUUGUGCUAUAGUG